UACGGGGGGAGCAAACGUUGUUCGGAAUCACUGGGCGUAAAGGGUGCGUAGGCGGCUUGGUGGGUCUGGUGUGAAAGCCCCGGGCUCAGCCCGGGAAGGGCACUAGAAACUGCCGAGCUGGAGUGCCGGAGGGGAGAGUGGAAUUCCCCAAGUAGAGGUGAAAUUCGUAGAUAUGGGGAGGAAUACCGGUGGCGAAGGCGGCAUCCUGGACCGACAUUGACGCUGAUGAGCGAAAGCUAGGGGAGCAAACGGG
rnacentral:rRNA from 1 species